GGGGGCUGAGGGGCUGCUCCUGGGCUGUGGGGGGCUGGUCGGGAUCCUCUCCGUGGGGCUGAGGCCCUGUCCGUGGGGCUGGAGGUCUGUCCGUGGGUCCGGCGCCCUGUCGGUGUGGCUGGGGCUCCGUCCGUGGGGCUGUGGCCCUGUCCAUGGGGCUGGACGCCUCUCCGUGGGGCUGGAGGCCCUGUCCGUGGGGCUGAGGAACUGUCUGGGGGCUGCCUGUGAGGCAUGCAGUGCUGUCUGGGGCACACAGCGGCUGGGGCCAUGGAGCCGAGUGUGGCGGGGCGCAAGGAGCGGCCGCGGCCCCGGGAGCCGCCGUCCCGCCUGGAGAAGGCCAAGCAGAAAUCAGCGCAGCAGGAGCUAAAGCAGCGGCAGCGGGCGGAGAUCUAUGCCCUCAACCGCGUGAUGACGGAGCUGGAGCAGCAGCAGUUUGACUCCUUCUGCAAGCAGAUGCAGGCAUCCGGCGACACUGGUGGCUGCAUCCCGGCCUGCUGCCGGGUGGGAAUAGCGUGGGGGAGACCAGACUGGGGCUGGGUGCCAGAGCAGCUGCGGCCUCUGAGUGCCAACUCCGGCCGUCCUUGUGCCGAGCAAGCCCUUGGCGUGCCGAUUCCCUGCCAAAGGGAACGUUCCUGCCCUCGCGGUGUCUGGAUCUGGCCGCGGGGCGGGAUCUGCAUCCAGCUUUUGCAGCUGCUCACGCCUCAGGAGCCUCUCCGGGGACCCCGAGUGUUUCUCUCCACUGCUCGGUGCAAGCCACGGGUAAAACAACAAGCACCGAACUGCUGCCGGUGAAUUGAGUUCCAGAAUCCGUCUGGAAUUUGAUUGUCGGCUUUCUUCCCUCAAGGAGGGGGCGUCCUCAUUUUUGGAGGCUUGGAUUUGGCGAGGAGAGCGAAGGGAGAUGUCAGUGGAGAGCGAGCAGGAAGGCUUUACUAGGCGUUAGGUUGGGCUUUGCAGCUCCAGACGGCGAAGGGGAAGACAAUGUAGGACAUCGCCCAGACGAG